rnacentral:lncRNA from 10 species
GCAGCAGCUGUGUGUGGUCACAGAGCUUCCAAAUGAGGGAGAUGGAUGGCCUCGCUUCACAGUGUGCCCAGAGCAUGUCCACGGUGCCUGGGAAGACCAGGGACUCACCAUGCCCGGCUCUGGUUUCCCUCACAGUGAAGCCUCCUUGCUGGUAGGAUCCAUGGCCAAGCAUGGGGGCAGGGGCUGGGGGAGCUCUGUCAGUGACUUCUCGCAGGCAGCAAGGCCUCUGGGAGCUGGCCAGGAAAACAGAAACUCCAUCCUGGAGCAGAAGAUGGAACCCAGCACAUCUCGAGAGCCCACUGCACAGAGGUGGACACUGAGGGACCGCUGGCUCACACGCAUGUUGAAAUAUGUGCUCAGCUGAUGUCUUCCCAAGUGAGCCCUCCUGCAGGACAGGACCACACAGUGUCCUCAAAAAGCGCCCCAGGAAGGAAUGGCAAACAACAUAAUUCUAUCUAAUGAGAUGUUCAAAGACAUCUUCUGGUGCUUCUUGAAAGACUUGAUUUCUUCACAUAGAUGCAAUGUCUUCCCUGUGGUUUCUUCUUCUAUCUGCUGGGGACAUGGGUGUGAUCCCUGGAGCUGCAGCAGCCAUUUGUUAACCCUGAGGAAAAGACUCAGAAAAAUCCAAGACCUUGGCUCUACUAUCUUUGGGCCAUUGAACCAGAGGU